rnacentral:rRNA from 1 species
CAAUAGUGUAUAUUUAAGUUGUUGCAGUUAAAAAGCUCGUAGUCGGAUUUUGGCUGAGAACGAUCGGUCCGCCGUUAGGUGUGCACUGAUUGGUCUCAGCUUCCUGGUGAGGAGGUGUGCUUCACGGCCACUUAGUCACCGUGGUUACUUUGAAAAAAUUAGAGUGUUCAAAGCGGGCUUACGCUUGAAUAUAUUAGCAUGGAAUAACACCAUAGGACUCCUGUCCUAUUUCGUUGGUCACGGGACGGGAGUAAUGAUUAAGAGGAACAGUUGGGGGCAUUCGCAUUUCAUUGUCAGAGGUGAAAUUCUUGGAUUUAUGAAAGACGAACUUCUGCGAAAGCAUUUGCCAAGGAUGUUUUCAUUGA